CAGGGGCUGCUGUGCAGGCUGCUGGAGAGAUGGGCAUUUGGCCAUUCUGUGUGUGCUGGAGAAGGAGCAACGCUCUUUAGAGGGAAACUCUAGAGCUGACUUUGCUUAUUUGAGAGCGUCGGAUCAAUUUGCUGUGACCGGAUACCUCACGGGAAGCAACUUAACGGAGGGCUGGCUUUGGCUCCUAGUUGGAGGGGCUACAGUUCAUCACAGCAGGGAAGCCAUGGUGACAGGAGCAUGAGGUAACUGGUCUCAUCACUUCCACAGCCAUGUAGCAUCAAGCAGACAGGACAUGGGAUAAGGCCAGCCCCUAUGAUUUCCUUUCUCCAUUGAAUUGCCUCAGUCUUCCAAAACAGCGCCAUCCACUGGAGAUCAAGUAUUCAAACACAUGAGCCUUUGGGGGACAUUUUACAUUGAAAUCACACCACUAAGUAGCUUGGGCUGAGCUCAUCCUCCUGCCUCAGCCCCUGGAUUGCAGGGAUGACAGUCGUGUGCCUUAAUGCCCAGCGCAGAGGAUAUGAGAAAGGAAGUCAGUCACUCCAGCCACCCCCUGGACCCCAGUCCACUUACUUCUUAGACACCGUGGGUUUGGCUUUCUCCUUCAGUGGCCGUCUUUGAAAGCUUCACAAUUGUACUGGCUGGUUUUGUGUGUCAGCUUGACACAAGCUGGAGCUGGAACUCACAGAGAAAGGAGCCUCAGUUGUGGAAAUGCCUCCAUGAGACCCAGCUCUCCUGCUUCCUGACCUGCUUGAGUUCCAGUCCUGACUUCCUUUGGUGAUGAGCAGCAAUGUGGAAGUGUAAGCUGAAUCAACCCUUUCCUCCCCAACUUGCUUCUUGGUCCUGAUGUUUGUGCAGCAAUAGAAACCCUGACGAAGACACUGAUAUGAUCUCUAGUACAUGCCGGACAAUUAUGCUUCAAUUGCUCUGUCCUGAGAAAGUUUUGGGAAAGGACUGCUCUGUUAAUAUUUAGUAUGUGCUUCCUGGCAUUUAUUUAUGUGUUGAUCUGAACUCAAACGACCUUCCUUGGAUCACUGCUUUCUUUGUUAUGUUCACGUAUAAGAGCACACUAAACUGAAGUAAGGUUGUCUACGGCAUCAGACUGUAGUCCGCUCCAUUCCGUCAGGUCCUCAGAUCCUGGGUCCAGCAGACAAGGUCUGCACAGGUCAGCUGAGAGCUUGACACAGGGGAUCUGACAUCCUUUUCUGACCUCCAUGGGCACCUGAGUUCACGGGUACAUACCCUCUUAGAGACGCAUGGGUACACGUAAUUGAAAGUAGUAGAAACAAAUCUUGCCAGUACCGUUUGAUAAUCUUUAAUAUCCAUUUCUUCGACAUCUUGCAGUGAGCUAGAGUAAAAGUGUGAGAGGGACUCUUUCUGUGAAUGUAGCAGCCAGCGUCUUAACCCGCGUGCGGAUAUAUUUUUCACCACCGUCAAAAGGAAAAAGAGAGCAGCUCACUCUCCUCAUUUCCUGCCUGUCUUGAUUUGGAAACCAAUUGAAAGGAAGUAGCAGACCUAGGGGGUCAGAAUGUCAGCCUCAUUACCGACGAAGCCAACUGCAGAACGGGAAACAGGGCUAGAGAGAAUCUGAAGCCAGAUGCUCUUUCUAGCAAUCUCCGAUUUAGACGAUGUUCACAGUCACUGCUGGCUUCCUCCUCCCACACCUGUUUAAGGCUGGCCCUUUCCAGGAAGCGGAAGGACCAAAGAAUACUUCUCAGUAGCAGGACCAAAGAGAACUCAGAAGGGACAAAGCCACCGCAAACUCAUUUUCCUACAAGUACUAAAGUACUCACUAGGGAAUGCCCGGGAAAUGAGGGGGAGGCCAGGAGCCUCUGGGAGUGUCUUGUGGAUGUAACCUUAUAGGUGCAACUGUGUGUAAGGGAGCCUGAGGCCAACAGGACUCCAGCGGUGUUUUAGAAAUUGGGCUAGGACAGAAACAGGAAAUCAAAAUAACACAUAUCUUAAAGAUCCCCAAAUGACAGGGCUGAAGAGACAGCACAGUGGUUAGGAGCACUUACUGCUCUUGCAGAGGACCCAGGCUUUGUUCCCAGCACCUAUAUGUUGGCUCAUAAUUGUCUGUAAACUCCAGUUCUGAAGAGUCUGAUGACUCUUUGACCUCUGCAAGCUCUUACACACAUGGUGUGUGUCUGUGUUAGCACACAUGCACUCACACAAAUAGAUACUUAGAAACUUGGGAUGGUCAAUCACUAUCUGCAGAUGAUAUUGCUUGUUAGAAAACAUGAGGAUGGUGGAGAAGGCUCAGUGUGUGAAGUGUUUGCUGCACUUGUUGUCUGGGGACCUGUGGUUAGCACACAGGUCAAGAGUCAACUGUACAUCUGCAGCCCCAGUGAGGAGGCAGAGGCAGGAGGAUUCCUCAAGCUAAACUGGGCAAAUCUAGCUGAAUGGGUGAGGUCUGGGUUUAGAGAGAGGUUUUGUCUCAAACAAUAAAGUGGAGAGAGAUUGAGGGAAACACCAAGUGUCAGCCUCUGACUUCCACAUGCAUCUGCACAUGUGUGUGUGUGUGUGUAUACCUGAGUACACAUGUGUGUUAUGUGUUUGUACACCUGAACACACAUGUGCCCACACAUAAGGCACACACAGGCAAGAGCAUACAAGCAGAUGAACAAAAACAUUUAUUAGCACAUAUAAAAUAUUCAGUAAGUGAAACUAUUACCUUAUAAAAUGUCAAAAAUAAUAGCUUUUCUAUAGACCAACAAAGUAGCAAAUUGGACAAGGAGUCCUAAAAAUCAAAUCACAUCAUCAAUGUUGAGGAGAUUUAACAAAAGAAGAACGUUGGGAGAAAAGCCCACUCUACCAAGUAUGUACUGGCUACAGAGGUGUGUGGAGUAGCAUCAAGAAGAGUCCUGGGCCAGGGGGCCACAGACAUUUACAGCUAAUUCACACAGAAGCAAAACUACCACUAGAUCAUUCAAAGCAAGGUUGAGUCUCAUCAGUAUGUAAAGAAAUACAAAUUCAAAGGAGACAUUCUAUUGACAAAGGAUGGCUUGUACCCACCCAGCAUGGGCAUAAAGAUAUGGACGGAGAGCAUCUUGUCUGAUUUCACAUCUGGAAGUGUGCAUGUAAAAAGAGGAGAGUCUAGUAACUGCAUUAACAGUUGUUGCUAAACAAACAUUUGUAGCUUGUCACUUUUCUGCAAGAAAAUGGUGCUAGUUCUGUGAAUAGCUGAUGCUGGGAACAGACCCCCACACCUUAUAUGCUGUCUUAGGGUUUCAUUGCUGUGAAGAGACAAUGACCCCGCCAAUUCUUAUAAACAAAAACAUUUAAUUGGGACUGGCUUACAGUUUCAGAGGUUAGUCCAUUAUCAUCAUGGGCGAGAAGCAUGGCGGCCAUGCAGGAAGGCUUGUUAGAGAAGGAGCUGAGAGUUCUAUAUCUUGACCCACAGGUAGCAGGAGGAGACUGUGUGUCACAUUGGGUAUAGCUUUAGCAUAUAAGACCUCAAAGCCCACCUACACAAUAAUAUACUCGCUCCAACAAGGCCACACCCACCAACAAGGCCACACCCACUCCAACAAGGCCACACCUCCUAAUAGCGCCACUCCAUAUGGAUCAAGCAUGAGCAACUCACCUAUUCAAACCACUACAUAUGAUAACUGUGCCGUGUUCCACUGAGCUGGAUCUCCAGCAUCCAAAGCUUUUUUUUAAGUAAAUAAUCCAUUUUUUCAGAAAAGCUUAGAAAAUGUUGAGUUAGUAGUAAAAACGGUGGCUCGAAGACAAGCGGAGACCGUUUGGGAGCGAGGUAUGGGCAUGGGGAUUAGAGGUUGAUGGAGCAGAGCGUCACAAUUGUCCUCAGUGGACGCUGGGUCUUAAAACUGUUGAGCCGGAGAACUGCCAUUUUGCAAGGAGAGCGAGCCCUUUCUCCAGGGGCAUUCUUCUUCGGGAGGGGCCACUUGAUGAACCCCUGCAAGCUGGAAUCAGCCCAAACAUCCACAAGAGGGAAGUGGUUCAGUAAGCUGUGGUGCAUUGAUCCUGCGGGCUCUGCGUCAUCGGCGUCUGUGUGGAGCAAGAGCACUUGAUGGUGGGAGUAUUUAAUGGCACGGAAAUUUGCUUACUGCUUAUUGUUAAAUGAGAAUCUGUUUUUAAACUGAGUGAGGAGUGAGUUUGAUCACUGUCAGGGGUGCGCUUUUCAGGGGAAAGAUUGGCAGGAUUUUAAAUUUUAUCUAAGUUUUUAAAAAAACAGUGAAAAGCAGGAGAAAGGAGAGAUGCAUGUAAUGUGGUCACAUCGGGGAGAGGGACAGAGAGAUCCAGUGACCCCACAAAGUCUACCUUUGAGGUCCUGGCAUGAGGCUGAGGUUUAUGUAGAGGACAGAGUUAUGAUCUCUAAGUCAUUCCCCGGGGAAGGUGUAUUCCUACCCUCUACUGACCCAUCCUGUCUCCUCUGCAAAUCACUCUAACAAGCUGUAAAUAUCUUCCCUGAGAAGUUUCCCUUCUGACUGAUUCAGGCACUUUUCUAUAGUGUGUGUGGUUUUUCUUGUUUGUUUGUUUGGAGAAUACUUUUAGAUGCUGCUUGCAUCCAGUUUAUAGAUAAUGCAGAUUUUUUUUUUUGUGGCUGUGGCUUUCAAAUGGUUACAAGAGUCAAUACAUGCAAGGAAAAGUCAAUCAGGUGUUUGCCAGACAAAGAAGGGUCAAGGGUCAAGGGCCAACUCCAUGUAUAGGUGGCUCAGAAACAGAGAGUAGGGGAGGGAGUUCCUUCAGCCACGGAGGAGACCUUCAGCCUCGGGACUCCAAAUGCCAGAGAGGCAAAGACAAAACCGUUGUUCAGUGAGAUGGAAACUCACUCUACCUUGGUGUCUUUUCUUUAGGCUUCCUCUGGUUUUCGACAGGCUUCAUGCAGCUAACUGCUCUAUACAUGGAUGGUAGAGAGUGGAUUAACAACGCAAGAGGUCACAGUUGUGUUUUCCUAGGCAGCUGAACAAUGGCAGAAGACACAGAGACAGUGAGGGUCAGGGGAAGGCCAAGAACCACAGGUCGAAUGGUUGUGGGGUUAGGAGGGCCUCUCCUGGAAGAGAAAGGUGAGCUCAGGUUUGGCUACCCAUACAUAAGGACCUGGAAACCUGCAGAUUUCUAUCAUCGUGGUUUAAUAACUACAUCAAACUACAUCAUUUUUUUCAAGUUUUACAUUUAUUUUUAUUUUUUAUUUCAUGUGUAUUGCUGUUUUGCCUGCCUGCAUAUCUGUCUGUGUGAGGGUGUCAGAUCCCCUGAAACUGGGUUUACAGACAGUUAUGAGCUGCCAGGUGGGUGCUGGGACUAACCCUGGGUCCUCUGGAAGACCCAGAGCUUCCAGAUGCUCUUAAUCGCUGGGCCACCUCCCACGCUCUUUGGAUUUUAGUUUUUGAGUACACGAAUGUUUUGCUUGCACAUUUGCAUCCAGUACCUACAUAGGCAAGAAGAAGUUGUGGUAAAAAUAAAAAAGGGUUUCUUUUAACCUGAGUUAAUGCCGGCACCAUAGGGCCACAUGGCAUCUGUGGAAUAUUUUCAUCUCAGUCAGCAAAGCGUCUCACCCGCUAAGUUCCAUUCCAUCUCACACUGCUGAUGGCUACUCUCUGAGCCCAGCAGCAAUCUCUCUACCCAUCUAGCUCCCAGGGCGGGUCACUGUCAUGCCAGUUUCAUACAGAGACCGCCUAUCUCAUGCCUCUCUUACUGUGGACUCAAUUAAGUCGCCACAUGAAAGAACACAGCACACAAUAACCUCUGAUCCAAUUUAAGAUAUAAUUUGCCCAUCUACACGACACAAAAUCCUGUACACACCCAUCCCUUAAAAAUAGUCAUAACAACCUGUAUCUAUGCGCAGAGAAGGAUCUUAGCAUGUGCCGCCAUAUUCUCCCAGCUUCUUCUCCUCACUCCCGUUUCCUUCUCUCUUGCUUCUCCCUCCCUUCUAAAACCUCUGUCCCCGCCUCCCUUCCUUCUCGCCCAAUGACAGGCCCCAUUUUAACUUGUCUGCCUUCACCUGCAGAAUGACAUCAUCAACCUCUAAGAAGAGAACGUUGGAUCCCCUGGAACCAUAGUUUUAGACAAUUGUGAGCUGCUAUGUAGGUUCUGGGAAAUGAACCUUGGUCUUCCUCAAAGCCAGUGCUUUAACAGUGGCCAUUGCUGCUAACUGUUGCUCUAUCUCUCCCACCCCCAUUUUCUAGGACUCCUGUCUGGAAGAACAAACACAGGGCAUCAGUAAUAAGAUUAGUCAGGAAACACAGAGACGAUGCUAAGGACAGGGCUGUUGGUGUGGUGAUGUUUGACACUUGGAUGCGGAGAGGAGGGGGCUCCACAGGCAAUGGGAGUGACUGACCAGAGAGUUGGAGAUCUGCAUGAAGCCAGUGCAGGCAGGGAUGUAGAUAGGAAGGAAAAUAGAGACUCUGAGGGCAGGCUUUCACGCAGAGACUGGGUUUGGCACAGAAAAUAUGGAUCAGGCAUUGUGGGAGAUUAGAGUGUAUAUGCCCCACACAAGGUGGACGCUCACUGAGAGUGCUGCCAACAGAAGGGGUCUAGGAUGGGACAGAGGAGCAGGUUACCUGAGAGCCAGGGCCACUAGCAGGGACAUUCCACUGCUGCUGGAGAGAUGAGACAGUUGUGAGGCUGUCCUCCACCCAGACUGAUGAGAGCUCUCAUGGUGUCCUCCCUUCUGCAGAAGGGAAGCUAAAGUCACUUUCCCUGAGCGGGGCAUGAUGUUGGGAUGGGGAGCUGAAACACAGCAGGGAAGAUUAGAAACAGCUGUGUGUGUGUAUGUGUAUGUGUGUGUGUAUGUGUGUGUGUAUGUGUGUGUGUGCGUGUGUGUGCGUGUGUGUGUAUGCGUAUGUGUGUAUGUGUGUGUAUGUGUGUGUGAGUGUGUAUGUGUGUAUAUGUGUUGUGUAUGUGUGUGUGUAUGUGUGUAUGUGUGUAUGUGUGUAUGUGUGUGUGAGUGUGUAUGUGUGUAUAUGUGUUGUGUAUGUGUGUGUGUAUGUGUGUGUAUGUGUGUAUGUGUGUAUGUGUGUAUGUGUGUGUAUGUGUGUAUGUGUGUGUGUAUGUGUGUGUGUGUAUGUGUGUGUGUGUGUUGGCGGGACAGGAGCUUGUGGAGAGUAGAGAACUGAGUGAGUGGAAUCAGAUCUGUGAGUUAAAAAGUUGGUUGUCUUUGGAAGGUGGAAAUGUACUUCCCAAGGUGAAAGGAGGGAAGAGAGUGAGCAAAGCGGAGAAACACCAGCCGAUCAGCAGAAGGCACCAUGCAGACCAUGUUGCCUCAGCAACUGGACACUGGAAGCAGACCGAGUCCCUGGUUCCCAACAUCAGCUGUCAGUGAGAAACUUUUCAAGUUCUCUGGAGGCAUCUUGUGACCCUGGAAGAAUGUGGUUUGAGGAAGGUUAAUCUGGCAUAAUUUAUGGGCAGGAAAGGAAAGGGGACCCUGGGAAUAAGGAGAACACUCCCUUGUCACAGACAUCUAGAAAGAAUGGCUAAUGACUGGCAAAACAAUGAGAUUAAACAAUCCAUUGAUUGUGCAUUUAAACUUCUAAUUUUAAAUCUAGCACACUAAUUAAGCAUAAAUUAUUUUGCCAUUCAAAUGUAUUCUGGUUGAAGCUUUCUCGCUGUUGGAGGUGACAGGGGAGGAGGGUGGAGGGGAAGUAAUCUCGAGUCAACAAUCAGCAUCAUGUCUGCUUCUUCCGAAGAGCUCUAGGUUUUGGGGCCUUGCUCGAGGGUCUUACCUCUGGAUGUGCAACUGGGGUCAGGGGCCAGUCUCUGGGACUUGCCAUUGUUAAAGGUGGCCUGAAGCUGCCUUGGCCUUUCCAAGUCCUUGACUUGCCAAGGACAUCUGGAGUGGAGCAUGGAGCCAAAUGCUUCUACGCUAGAACAAGCCAGAAGGUAAACCAGAUACCGCACUAAACAUAGCUUCUAGACAAGGCUAUUUGAGACACUAGCCAUUGUCCUUGUGGUAAUCCAAGAGGUACAUAUCAAGUUUAGCUGGGCAGAAAGAAGUGUAGUACCUUCAACCCUCUAUGAUGAGGCCAUAGCAGGAUAAAAAUGGAAGGGGAGGCAGAGGGGCAAGGUAUGCUCCCUACUCCCUUAGAGGUACGUCUGAGGACCGUGUCUUCACAAAGCUACUGUUGCUCUCGGACCUCUGGGGUGGAUUCAUUUUGCGGAGCACUCACAUUACUUCACCUGCUAGACCAAGCCACAUUUGGGGUGGGAGCAAGCUUGCUUUCCUGCAUAGCUGACCCGGAGAUAAGCCCCCAUUUCUGGGGGGGGGGAAAGCUGAGUGAUUGAUCUGUUGGUCUGAGUUGAGGCUCAAGCAAAGUGAGUUCCUCCUGGCCCUGAGAAGGUGGAAGGUUUAGACAGUGUGACCUCAUCAUCCCCUGUGAGCUUUGCAACAAGACUGAAAAGCCAACCAGACAACCACGAGUCUAGGAUCAAAGUGUCUGCACAGCAAUCCUGUUCCACGGCGACAGCGGAUGGACGCUACUGCAUAAGAGAAGCUGAAGAGACUCAGUCGCAAUGUGGAUGAGAAGCAGCCAGGCAGAAGAAGAGUGCAUGUGGUUGCAUCUCUGUGGAGUUCAGAAUCAGGCGUGACUCAUCUGGGCUGCCAUCGCAGGUGCCAUCUACAGUAUCUGAAGGAGCUGGUCCACCUGGCACAUGGGGAGUCCUUCUCUGUAUUGGUCAGCAUUCAAUAGACACAUGAGCGUUUAUCCCCUCUAAUAUAUUUGGAUUUUGGUAACCGAUCAUGGGAAAGUUUCUCUAUCAAAUGAACAAUGAUAUUUCAGGCAGAAAUAUAAAGGAAUGGUGUUAAUUGGACCACUGAAGAUCUAUCAUUUACAUACCUAUUAUCAAUCAUCUAUCUGUGAAUCAUCCAUCCAUCAUCUGUCAAUCAUCUAUCUAUCUAUCUAUCUAUCUAUCUAUCUAUCUAUCUAUCUAUCUAUCUAUCAUCAUCAUCUAUUCAUUAUCUACCUAUCUAUAUAUCUGUCAUCUAUCAACUGUCCAUCAAUCACCUAUGUAGGUAUGUUGGUAUGUACAUAUGUAUGUAUGUAUGUAUGUAUGUAUGUAUGUAUGUAUCUGUCAUCCAUCCAUCCAUCCAUCCGUCCAUCCUCCAUUUAUCUACUCUAACAUAUACCCAUACAUUUUUAGUGUCUUUGCUUGGAAAUACUGAAUUUACUUGAAUUGGAUAUUCGAUUCCACAGCCUAAGAACUGCCAACAUACUUUCGUGUCUCUGCCUGAGGUGGAGGCUGGGCACACUGGCAGCCAGUUUCUCCCUUCUCUCAUACUUGGGUGUAGUUAUGUCUGUGGUGAGAAUGAGCUGCAGGUAUGCACACGCCACUGUGGGUCUCAGAAACCUUCCUGGUCUUGCUCAUCCACAGGCAGCACGUGAUGCCAAGGGUGAACUUGAAAGGUGCUGGGUGCAGGCCCCUGAAUACACCUACAACUUAAAUGGCAGGGAAGUAUUUGCUGUACACUUUGGGAGUUUACUGCUAACAGUGGCGUUCCUUUAAUCUGCAUUCUGUUUAUCCAGUGUUGAAGGCCUGAGGUCUGGAGACAUGGUCGGGAUCUUACUCUUUUCGUCCUCUCCCCCAGAGCCUGGGGAGAGAGGAGAGCAGAUGCCUAGAUGUUGUGUCCAGAGGAUGCAAAGACUGAGAAAACACAAGGCAGCUUAUGUAACAGAGUUGCUGGGUGGGGCCUGACCAGCAACCUUGGUAGGUUUUGAGCAUCUUGGGUGUGGCAGAGGCAGCCCACCUUUCCCAGCAACCUCUUGGGACAUAGGCACAGCCUGGCAUAGAUGGCUAUCUGAGUAGCUAGUAAAGAUCAAAGGCAAACAUUAUCUUUGCUGUCUGGGAUAAAGGCAGCUUUGGACCAGGAUGGGUUCUGGCUCAGACAUUAAAGCUCAGGCUUAUAUAAGUCAGGAUGCUCAGAGACCUAUGUGCCCAGCGGGAGCUGGGGCUCAACUCUGCAGCUGUUCAUGUCAUUCCUGAGUCUUGUGUCUUGGCCUUUCAGGAUGGAAACCCCAGAAUGCUAGUCUAUCUUCUGGGUGUACGAUACCACUCCUCCCCUCCUGACAGCUCAGUCCUGUCAUGGCUGAGGCCCUGUGGAUCUUGUCCUCAGGAACUCAGUGAUUGUAGGAGCAGUCUGGUGUCUCCCCAGGUCUUUCAUGAAUGAGGAGGAAAACAAGACCCCAGACCAUCCAAGGCUCCAUCCAUGCCUACUACGGUCCAGUCAGACUUGGUGUCUCAAGACUUGUUUCUCCCACAGGUUUCUCUGAGUCCGGCUGCUUAGUGGAGAUGCCCUCACAAUGUGGCCUCCAUUCAAGGAAGAGGAUGUUUGCAUAGAAUGUAGUGAGUAAACAGACAACAGGAUCCGAACACCUGCCCCGAGUUCUGCAUUUGCUUGGCUGGUUUGCUGGUUUGGUCCCUGCUGAAGCUUCCGGAUGUGGCCUGAGGCCCAAGGUUGUACCGGCCAGAGGCACCUGCUGCCAGCCCUCUGAGGAAGUAGGGACUUGGGGCUGGGUGUGUGCAUGUGUGUGAACAUGCUGUGUAUAUUCAUACAUCUGUUUUUAUGUUCAGCUCUGCACACACGUCUGUAGCGGGUGCUGUGUGCAUGUGUACACACAUUCUGUGUGUGUGGGAGUACCUGGGUAUGUGUGCGUAUUUGGCAUAGUCUAUGUAUGCACGUGUGAGUUUAUGAGUGUCACAUGUAGUUGCACAUAUAGCCUGCACACGAACAUGCCAAGUGUUUGGGCUUCUGUGGGCAUGUGUGCUUGCAUGUGUGGGUGUGUUUGUAUGUGUGUAGCUGCUUUGGCUUAAGUGGGACUUAACCCUUUCCUGCUUGACUCUCCUCAUAACAUGCUGUUGGUCUAACUGUAGGUUGGGGCCUGAGGAGAGGAUGGAGACAGGGCUUCAGGGAUGGGGCCAGGGUAUUUAAGAGUGCUGUGCAGUAGUGUCCUAGACCUCGUCCCCCAAAUGGCUUCCCAUCAGUGGAACAGAUAUGAAAGAUUUGAGAUGGAGGGAUGGGGGUUGUACUGGCUAGUUUGUGUCAUGUGACACACACUGGAGUUAUCACAGAAAAAGGAGCCUCAGUUGUGGAAAUGCCUCCAUGAGACCCAGCUGUAAGGCAUUUUCUCAAUUAGUGAUCAAGGGGGGAGGACCCAGCCCCUUGUGGGUGGUGCUGUCCCUGGGCUGGUGAUCUUGAGUUCUAUAAGAAAGCAAGCUGAACAAGCCAGGGAAAGCAAGAUAAUAAGAAACAUCCCUCCAUGGCCUCUGCAUCAGCUCCUGCUUCCUGACCUGCUUGAAUUCCAGUCUUAACUUCCUUUGGUGAUGAACAGCAAGGUGAAAGUGUAAGUCGAAUAAACCCUUUUCUCCCCAAAUUGCUUCUUGGUCAUGAUGUUUGUGCAGGAAUAGAAACUCUGACUAAGACAGGGGUAUCUGCAGAGGGUCUCCAAGUUCUAUAAGGCUACAGAGGGUCAGCUCUGCAGAUCCUGUAGCCCCUGGAAGGGUGUUCCCAUCCCCAUACAGGUGGAGACCUGGCACUCCUGGUGGGCACAGCUUGCAUUUGCUGCUUGGAAACUCUUAAAUGGUAGGUGGGGUUACCCUGUGCUGGGCAGUCAGUAAUGCUUGCUUCAUUUUCCUGUCAACAGCCCAGCAUGCCGAGGCAUAAGCACAUGACUACGGACAGCAUGCCAAGGCAUAAGCACAUGACCACGGAAAUACCGCAGAGCUGGCAGCCAUAGGCACACGGUCCUGGCUUUGAGCCCCAGAGCCCAAACAAAAACAAAAUUGAAAGAAAAAAUUCCUAUCUUUAUGGAGCUGACAGAGCAGGUGGGAUACCAAGUUUGAGUCAGAGUCCUUGCUCCAUACAAGUAAAAUUGGCUGUCUAGUUACUUUUAAACUGAGGAGUCCCUAAUCCUUUGGCCAACAGCAGAAAGAGUAAAGAGUAGUCUGUCUGUCUGUCUGUCUGUCUGUCUGUCUGUCUGUCUCUCUCUCUCUCUCCCUCCCCCCCUCAGGCAAUGAGAUAAGUCAUCUAACAACAAAGCCGGAGUGUGGUGGACCCUGACCUCCAGAAAGCCCUCCAGAGACGUGAAUUCAGGAGAGCAGGCUCAUGCCCUUCCCUGGCUCUGACACCUGAUGGUUCCUGGGUGAGGCUUGUGGCAGUGAGCCCGACCAACCCCCAGGGUUGCCCAGAGCUUGUCUGUAGCCUCAUUCUCACCACAUUUUAUUAAUGUUCUUGAUCAUUGAGCCAACCAGCAACUUCUUGAGCGUCACCUAGAAGGUGACAGCCCAUGGGAAGAUCUAGAAGAGAGCUAGGCUGCAACCGAGCCUCCAAGGAAACAGAAAUGGCUGAGGGACCUGUGUCAGCAAACAGAUACUCCUGGGAAGGGCUGUUUCAGGUGCUUUGAGCUGUACAUCCUAGUGAGACAGCUGGCAGGUGGAUUCCGUCUACAGCUGUUUCUCCUUUCUGCUUCCUCACAGUAAACGUUUAAGGUUUCGGGCAUAUCACGAUCCUCUCACCUCGGUGACUUAGGUCCUACAGUGGUGAAAAAUGACAUAACCCUGACACAGUUACCCCGUGAUCACCCAUCACGGUGCCUGCCUCAGUCACGGAUGCUGAGGGAAACCCUCAAGUGCAAAUUCUGCUACGUUAGGUUUCUUAAACUUAUGAUUUCCCAGCAGGGGCAUUUGCCGAGGGUCUGCUGGUCUCUGGGGGGCAUCUUGUGUGGAAUGCUGGGAUGUUAGGCCGUGGUUUGGGAACUGGGAUCUACUUCACAAGUGCAGGCUGGGUGAAGAGCCACCCGAGAGCUCUAAUUCCACUCCAAUCAGAUGCAAUUCCAUAGCAUAGGCCCUUAAUGAGGGUUAAUGACAUUAAUUACUGCCCCCUUCACUCAGGAGCACGUUCAAGAGGAGCUAAUUGCUAUGUAAUGGCUCAGGGAUCACUGAGACCCUGGCAGAACUGCAGAGGAGUGUGUCUCCUUUUCUCGCCCGCUCCUCCACCCCUGCCGCCACCUUGCUUCCUUUUCUCCCAAGAUGCUUCUGUGCCUCCUGGGUUCACUGUCACGGAGACCCCAGGCUGGGUCUUAAGUGUGAUUGCAGGCAAGUCUAUUGUGUUUAGCAACUGCAACUUCUCUGUGGAAUGUGGUAGGGCAGACUUCCCACAAGGCCUGGGGGACCGGACUCUGUGCUGCUAACUCCUGCAAAAGGAUGCAAUUGCAGAAUUCAAAGAAAGCAUAGCUGACUGGGCCCAGAAGUUUCUCUUUUACGAUUUUUCUGGGACAACUGCACUUUCUGGUGUGCACAGACUGUGUCCGAGGUUUGAGGGGGCAGUGAGGGUCUCUGUGUCUGCUCAUAUGUGCCGCCCUCCACGUACAGACACAGGCUGGGGUGUGUGUGUGACUGGAUGGAGAUCACUGAGCUGUUAGUCCUCGUGUGCCAUGGGCUAUGUGGCUGGGUCUUGGAGAACUUGGAUGUCUGGCUUAGCCUGUUAGUGGGAGACAUGGUGAGUCUGUGUUGUACCCUAAACUGUUAGAUGGGGUAUCAGUUGCAUUAAAAUGAAAUCACCCCAUCUUUGUAAUCUCUGUGACUAAGCCCCUCAACACUAUUUUAAAGUGUUCCUUCCCACCAAAUAGCCUGCCAUGUUUUUGCAAAGUUUAAAUUUCUAUUUUGAUCCCUUACUUUAGCUAUCCUCAAAUAUUUUUAUUUAUCUCUUUAGAGUUCCUCAUCUGGGUCUUUUUAUUGUAUUUGCACUUACCCUAUUUUAUUUAAGAAAGAUUUAUUAUUUUUAGUUAUGUGUGUGCAUGUGUGUUUCUGUGUCAGGAUACACAUGUGAGUGUGGGUGUCUUCAGGGGCUAGAGCAGGCAGUGGAUACCUGGGGUUGGGCUUAGGGAUAUGUGUGAGCUUUGGGCAUGCUGGGAACCUAACCCAGGACUUGUGCAAGCACACACACACUGUCAACCUUCUCUGCAGUCCCUACUCCAUUUUUUAUGUUGUUGUUUUUGCUAAGUCUUUGGCCUUAUAGAGGUCAGGUAGCUUCUAG